rnacentral:lncRNA from 1 species
UUAUUUGAUAAGGUUUAAAUUUUAAUUUUAUUAUGCAAAGUAAUUAUGCCAAUUGAUGGUAUUACUUGGUUGUAAUUUUACUGGAAGCUGUUUGGUGAAACUUUUAUGAUGCAGCAAAUAACUAUCCUAUUUGAAUUUGGGGAAGCAAGAAGAGGGAGAGAAAAUGAGUAAGAUUGGAAUUUAAUACAUUAUUUUGUAUAUAAAUGGUAAAUUGUAUAUGCUAAUGUAAUUAAGUAAUAACCUCUCUAGGAAUUAGGAAGGAUAAAUAAGUUUAUAACGAGUAUAGAUAGGCAAUCUCCCAAUUCUUAUUAGUCAGGUAUCAAUGCAUUCGGGUUUGUCGGGCCACAAUUAGGGGCGUAUGUAGCGUGUAAGUAACAGAUUUAAUUGAACUCAUAACUUUUUUGACGCAAAACAUAUUAAUUAACAGCUCCAAAUUAGUGUACAUUAAUAGGAUCAAUUUAUUGAUACAAGUAAAGUCUGACAUAUCUAUAUAAUAGUAAUUCACUAUAAAAAUUAAGUUUUUUUAGAAUUGUUUUUUUGUCCUUUAUAACAACUUCUUACUAUAAAAGCAAAAGAAUAUCUGAACAAAUAACGCUAUAUUAUAGAAAGUUUUGACCGUAGUAUUACUUAGGCACAAGUUAGCUAAAAAGGAAAAACGUAACAAGAUGAGAAGAUGAACAAGCUCAAUCUUUCAUAUAAUCAUUCUUCUAUAAUAAUAACACAACACUUAAAACUCAUUGUAUUUUCUUCUUCAUAUAUCAUAAGUGUUGCAUAUGACUUCUUAGUUCAAGCUCAGGAGGAAUAGCUAAAGAAAGAAAAUGUGGGAGAUUUGAACUGCAUAAAGAUUACAAAAAAAAGAAAAUAAAACAAACAAAGCAGUUCAAAAGCCUUGCAAGGUCAAGAAAAAAAAACACAAGACGAGACAAUAAAGAAAAUUAAAACAUAAGCUCAGCAAGGAUAGCACCAGUUAAAAACUAUGGUCGUUUGGUUAUCGCAGAAUCAUCUUUCUUGAAAGUUUUCAAAAGACAUAAAUACUUUUCUUGUUCCAAACAAGGUGGAUAAAUUACUAGUAGGAGAAAGUUAGAAUACAUAGUGUUAUUUGGACCUAAAUGGAAGACAGUGAAAUGAUAGAAAUGGGAUAAGAUUGAU